CCUACGGGAGGCAGCAGUGAGGAAUAUUGGUCAAUGGGCGGAAGCCUGAACCAGCCAAGUAGCGUGCAGGAUGACGGCCCUACGGGUUGUAAACUGCUUUUAUACGGGAAUAACGCGCCUUACGUGUAGGGCUUUGCAUGUACCGUAUGAAUAAGGACCGGCUAAUUCCGUGCCAGCAGCCGCGGUAAUACGGAAGGUCCGGGCGUUAUCCGGGUUUAUUGGGUGUAAAGGGAGCGUAGGCCGCAUGUCAAGCGUGCUGUGAAAGGUCCGGGCUCAACCCGGGCAUUGCAGCGCGAACUGGCGGGCUUGAGUCAGCGGGAGGCAGGCGGAAUUCGUGGUGUAGCGGUGAAAUGCUUAGAUAUGACGAAGAACCCCGAUUGCGAAGGCAGCUUGCUGCAGCGGAACUGACGCUGAGGCUCGAAAGCGCGGGUAUCGAACAGGAUUAGAUACCCUUGUAGUC
rnacentral:rRNA from 1 species